AGGUAAUAGAGUUUGACGAUGGGUCUGGAUCAGUUCUCAGGAUACAACCCUUACGGACUCCGAGGGAUGAGGCCAUUUAUGAAUGUGUGGCCUCAAAUAAUGUGGGAGAAAUAAGUGUAUCCACCAGACUCACAGUUUUGCGGGAAGAUCAAAUUCCCAGGGGCUUCCCUACCAUUGACAUGGGCCCACAGUUGAAGGUGGUUGAGCGUACUCGCACGGCCACCAUGCUUUGUGCAGCCAGUGGUAAUCCGGAUCCAGAAAUCACUUGGUUUAAAGAUUUCUUACCCGUGGACACAAGCAACAACAAUGGUCGUAUUAAGCAGUUACGAUCAGGAGCCCUUCAGAUUGAGCAGAGUGAAGAGUCUGACCAAGGAAAAUAUGAGUGUGUUGCCACCAACAGCGCGGGCACUCGCUAUUCCG
rnacentral:sRNA from 1 species